GUUAUACUCCCUCCGUCCCAAAACUCUUGUCUUAGAUUUAUCUAAAUAUAAUUGUAUUUAGUCAUGUUUUAGUAUUUAGGUAUGUUCAUAUUUAAAAAACUAAAAUAAAAUUUUUGGGACGGAGCAAGUAUAAC
rnacentral:pre_miRNA from 1 species